UUAAAAAAGACAAGGAAUAACUCUCUCUCUUCUCUCUCCUCUCUCCGAACUUUUUCUUCCUCCUCUUUCCUGAUUAUGGAAUAAUCUUCUUUGGAUAAGCUUGGGGACUUAUGGAUUAUGAGUUAGGGGAUGGAAAAUGAAAGCUCAUGUGAAAUAACAUGAUGCUAAAAUCAAUACUGGUUGUGUUCUGUUUGGUUGUAUUUUCUCAAAGAUACAACUCUCACCAACAAAAUCUUCGAUUGUGGAAAAGGCUAAACCGUCAUCCUCAAUCAUUAAGAAGAGAUCUCUUUCCUGUAAAGGCCGCAGUGACAUUUUAUCAGACUUGCUCGUGAUAGAAGGGCUCAGGAAUCCAUCUUGAUAGUUUUAUCACACCUUCACAACUCGCUUGUGGAUCCUUACAUACUUCCAGUAUUAGAAGACUACUCAUUGGGUAACGAUGGAGAACGAAUGCCUCCUAUGUUAUUGAAGAAUUACAAAUGGUUUGGUUAUCUUUGUAUUUUUGGUUUUAGGAUCUUGUCUAGGACUCAUCGCGUUGUGCUCUUUUCCUUCGUCAAGGUUUUAUCCCUUUGGAUUUGGAUUUUCCUUGACAAGGUUUUUAGCGAGGCAACAUAUGCGUGUCCAACACCUUUCGGUGGUUUUCACAUUUACCUUCUAUUUUUUGUUUUUUAUUUUUCAUGUAUUUCCUUUAAUUUGUUAGCCGCAAUAGAUGGCUAUAAUACCAAUGUAACCACGGCUGCUAACGCCAUAAGUUAGUAUUUUUAAUGUAAUAAUUCACAAAAAA